rnacentral:ncRNA from 2 species
AGAGGAAGCCGGUGCGAAUCCGGCGCGGUCCCGCCACUGUGAGUCCGGCCCGCCCAGCGAGGCGGCCGCCGGAUGAGUCAGGAACUC